GGGGAUGUAGCUCAGUUUGGGAGAGCGCCUCGUUCGCAACGAGGAGGUCGGCGGUUCGAUCCCGCUCAUCUCCACCA
rnacentral:tRNA from 1 species